GGCUAAGGUGUAACAGUUGGUAGAGAUGUUGUAGAUGUUACAGUAGUAGAUGUGAGUGUUUGGAGAGGUUGGUAGAGAUGUUGUAGAUGUUACAGUAGUAGAUGUGAGUGUUUGGAGAGGUUGGUAGAGAUGGUGUAGAUGUUACAGUAGUAGAUGUGAGUGUUUGGAGAGGUUGGUAGAGAUGGUGUAGAUGUUACAGUAGUAGAUGUGAGUGUUUGGAGAGGUUGGUAGAGAUGGUGUAGAUGUUACAGUAGUAGAUGUGAGUGUUUGGAGAGGUUGGUAGAGAUGGUGUAGAUGUUACAGUAGUAGAUGUGAGUGUUUGGAGAGGAUGGUAGAGAUGGUGUAGAUGUUACAGUAGUAGAUGUGAGUGUUU